GGCGUGACGAUGGCGGCCGUAGGGUCCGGAGGCUAUGCGCGGAACGAUGCAGGGGAGAAGCUGCCCUCUGUCAUGGCGGGAGUUCCGGCGCGGAGGGGCCAGUCCUCCCCGCCCCCCGCCCCACCGCUCUGCCUCCGGCGGCGGACGCGACUCUCGACGGCCUCCGAGGAGACGGUGCAGAACCGGGUGUCACUCGAGAAGGUGCUUGGCAUCACAGCCCAGAACAGCAGUGGCCUAACCUGUGACCCCGGCACAGGCUAUGUGGCCUACCUGGCAGGCUGUGUGGUGGUGAUUUUGGACCCCAAGGAGAACAAGCAGCAGCACAUCUUUAACACCGCCAGGUAAGCUGAUGCCUGGGCCCAGGGGCAGGGGUGGAACCGGGGGCUCAGCACGCCGCCCCUGCCCCACACAGCCUGGAGGUACUCAUGGGUAGGUGCUCACUCAUUCACUCACAUCUUGGCUCAGCAGCAUUCGCCUGUACUGGGUGCUGUUCCAUGUGCUGAGGACACAGCAGUGACCAGAGGAGAUGAGAAUCUCUGCUGGCUAGAGCGAGACAGACUGUAAACUAGUCAGCAAAUUACUGGCUGAUCAUGAUCAGUGCUAUGGAGGAAAUGAUGGAGGAUGUCUUCGGGCAGGUUUGUGGGCAGAGAAUAGGAGGAAAACCUUAUCAGAAGGCUCAGGGAACACCGCCUUGACUCUGAAACCUGAAGGAAGCAAGAGGGUGACCCAUAAGAAGCUGUAGGGAGAGCGCUUCAGGCAGGGGGCACAGCAAGGGCAAAGGCCCUGCAGUGGUUAAGCAUCUCGGGCACUUUAGAAGCAGCCAGGGAUCUGGGUGCCUGGAGAAAGGGAGCAGGGGAAAUGAGGCUGGAACAGGCAGAAGCCACAUCCCAUAGGCCUUGCCGCCUUGGAGAGGGACUGCAUAGCAUGCUGAGUGCAGAGAGCAGCCACAGGAGGGCACCACAGGCCAGGGAUGUGCUUUUCACCCCCAGCCCUCCAGCAGCUCUAUUCCCUGCUUUGCUUUUCUCCACAAAAUUUGCUCCCAUCGCUGAUGUGCUGUCCAGUUUCUUCAUUGAUGGUAUUCACUGUAGGUCUCCCUUCCUCAGUGUGAGCACUCUGAGAGCAGGGACUUUCUCUGAGUUCAUUUCUGUGUCCCUAGCACCAAAGAGCAGUAUCUGGCACAUUGAUGGCUAUUUUCUAAGAGAAAGACUGAACAUGAUUUGGGUUUUAGAAAGAUCCCUUCAGCUGUAAGUUUAUUGGAGAAGGACCCGCUCCUCUGCCUUGGGGCUAACUGAUCACUGUUACCCUGGGGAUGUGGUCCCAAUAGGGCUGUGACCUUUGGAAGGCAUACCAUGUCCCACCUUGGCAUAGCUCAGGCUCAGCUCCUUUGGCCCAGUUCCCCAGGUGGAUGGAUAAGGAGUGGGUUUUCUCCUGCCCUUAUGGUCCCUAAGAUAUGGUCCUUAAGCUACGGCAGGUUCUUGUUAUCUGGCAGAAGUGCAUUCCCUCUUGAAAGUGGCUUUUUGGACCUUUUGCUCCUUACUGUGGGUUCUGUUACUGGUGAUAAGGUCAGAGCUGGGUUCCAUUCCUGGCUCAAGCGUCUAUUCACUGUGGAAUCUCAGGUGAGACACUUCUUUCAGAGUCUUGGUCUCCUCUGAAAAUAAAAUAGCUGCCUCCAACUGGGAGAACAUUCGUAAGGUAGCAGCUACAAACCAGAAUCACAUAGACUUGCCCAAUACAGUGUGUUUUAAAGGUUGGAUAAGUGGACAACAUUUCAAGUUUUUUAACACAAAAAUCCAAAUGUACCUCUUGUUUGGAGAAGUGAGAAAUUCUCUGGCCUCUGGGGCCCAAAUUCCCCUGUGGCAGUGAUGGGCUGAGCUUAGUGAAAUUUGUCAGGCCCGUUGUGGCCAGUUCCUCACACCUGUGUUGCCUCCCUAAUCCCUGUAGGCAGUGGAGUGGGUGGCCUGGAUCUGUAGUAGAUGGCAUGCAGGUGCCCGCCCUUGGCCACCAGUGGGUAUGCAUUAGGAGGUGGUGUGGCCAGUAUGGGGAUUUUCACUCCGACUGCAUAUCAGAAUCACCUGGUCCCUGUGCCUCACCCCAAGAGAAAGCCAAAUCAGUUGAUCUGGGAUGAAACUUGGGCAUUGGCAAUUUUGAGACUUUUUAUAUUGAAAUAAUUUCAGACUUAGAAUUGUACAAAGAGCUCCUAUAUACCCAUGUACCUUUCACAUAUUUCACAAAUGUUAGCUUUUUUUUUUUUUUGGACACAGAGUCUUGCUCUGUCACCCAGGCUGGAGUGCAGUGGCACAAUCUCAGCUCACUGCAACCUCCACCUCCCGAGUUCAAGUGAUUCUCAUGCCUCAGCCUCCCAGGUAGUUGGGACCACAGGCGUGUGCCACCAUGCCCAGCUAAUUUUUUGUGUUUUAGUGGAGGCGGGGUUCAUCAUGUUGCCCAAGGUGGUCUCAAACUCCUGAGCUCAGACAGUCUGCCUGCCUCAGCCUCCCAAAGUGCUAGGAUUACAGGUGUGAGCCACUACACUUGGCCAAAUGUUAGCAUUUUACCACAUUUGCUUUAUCAUUUUUUGUCUAUAUACAUAUUAAUUUGUUCUGAACUAUUUGAGAAUCAGUUGUAGACAUGAUGCCCCUAUAUCUCUAAAUAUUUCACGCCAGGCACGGUGAUUCACUCCUGUAAUCUCAGCACUGUGGGAGGCCUUGGAGGCAGGAAGAUGACUUGAGGUCAAGAGUUUGAGACCAGCCUGGGCAACAUGGCAAAACCCUGUCUCUACUAAAAAUACAAAAAUUAGCCAGGCCUGGUGGCAGGCACCUGUAAUCCCAGCUACUCGGGAGGCUAAGGCAGGAGAAUUGCUUGAGCCUGGGAGGCGGAAGUUGCAGUGAGCCAAGAUUGUGCCACUGCACUCUAGCCUGGGCAACAGAGCAAGACUUAGUCUC
rnacentral:sRNA from 1 species